GGGCCCGCACAAGCGGUGGAGCAUGUGGUUUAAUUCGAUGAUACGCGAGGAACCUUACCAGGGCUUAAAUGUAGUGGGACAGGUCUAGAGAUAGACCCUUCUUCGGACUCAUUACAAGGUGCUGCAUGGUUGUCGUCAGCUCGUGCCGUGAGGUGUCAGGUUAAGUCCUAUAACGAGCGCAACCCCUAUCGUUAGUUGCCAGCACAUUAUGGUGGGAACUCUAACAAGACUGCCGGUGCAAACCGUGAGGAAGGUGGGGAUGACGUCAAAUCAUCACGGCCCUUACGUCCUGGCUACACACGUGCUACAAUGGCCGGUACAGAGAGCAGCCACUACGCGAGUAGGAG
rnacentral:rRNA from 1 species